AUGAACGCUGGCGGCGUGCCUAAUACAUGCCAGUCGAGCGAACAGACGAGGAGCUUGCUCCUCUGACGUUAGCGGCGGACGGGUGAGUAACACGUGGAUAACCUACCUAUAAGACUGGGAUAACUUCGGGAAACCGGAGCUAAUACCGGAUAAUAAAUUGAACCGCAUGGUUCAAUAGUGAAAGACGGUUUUGCUGUCACUUAUAGAUGGAUCCGCGCCGCAUUAGCUAGUUGGUAAGGUAACGGCUUACCAAGGCAACGAUGCGUAGCCGACCUGAGAGGGUGAUCGGCCACACUGGAACUGAGACACGGUCCAGACUCCUACGGGAGGCAGCAGUAGGGAAUCUUCCGCAAUGGGCGAAAGCCUGACGGAGCAACGCCGCGUGAGUGAUGAAGGUCUUCGGAUCGUAAAACUCUGUUAUUAGGGAAGAACAAAUGUGUAAGUAACUAUGCACGUCUUGACGGUACCUAAUCAGAAAGCCACGGCUAACUACGUG
rnacentral:rRNA from 1 species